GGACGUGAGGGUAACCUGGCUGAGACAUCUGUCGCCCUGUUGUUGCUGGUUCGUUUGGAUGAUGUUCCUGGCUACCCUCUCUUCCCAUGCCCCUUCAUGUGUAUCUCAUUUAGAACUGCACAGUCUGAAAAGAUAACUUUCUCCGAAAGAGGAGGACCAUUCUGGGCUCAAGGAUAUACAAAAAGCUCUGGUCCCCCAAUGAACCUCCAAAUCAGCUCUCAAAUUCAAAAUUGGUCUCCAGAUUUU
rnacentral:snRNA from 1 species